rnacentral:lncRNA from 1 species
GUCUUGUGUUGUGCUUUUAUACCACAGAUAAAUUUGAGCACUCACAAACAUUUUUAACCCCGCCGAAUGCCACGGUUUCUAGUUUUGUUUUAUAAAGUCAGGAACAAAUUAUUUGUUAUUAUGAGGUUGUCGUUUCUUGUUAUCCACAAGAGAAAAUAUGACACAGAAAUUUUGUUAGUCUUAUGUGUGUGUGUGUGUUUUUUUCAAUUUUUUUUUUAUAUGUUACGG